GCAGACUAGAGUGCAGUAGGGGAGACUGGAAUUCCUGGUGUAGCGGUGGAAUGCGCAGAUAUCAGGAGGAACACCGAUGGCGAAGGCAGGUCUCUGGGCUGUAACUGACGCUGAGGAGCGAAAGCAUGGGGAGCGAACAGGAUUAGAUACCCUGGUAGUCCAUGCCGUAAACGUUGGGCACUAGGUGUGGGGACCAUUCCACGGUUUCCGCGCCGCAGCUAACGCAUUAAGUGCCCCGCCUGGGGAGUACGGCCGCAAGGCUAAAACUCAAAGGAAUUGACGGGGGCCCGCACAAGCGGCGGAGCAUGCGGAUUAAUUCGAUGCAACGCGAAGAACCUUACCAAGGCUUGACAUGUUCUCGAUCGCCGUAGAGAUACGGUUUCCCCUUUGGGGCGGGAUCACAGGUGGUGCAUGGUUGUCGUCAGCUCGUGUCGUGAGAUGUUGGGUUAAGUCCCGCAACGAGCGCAACCCUCGUUCCAUGUUGCCAGCACGUAAUGGUGGGGACUCAUGGGAGACUGCCGGGGUCAACUCGGAGGAAGGUGGGGACGACGUCAAAUCAUCAUGCCCCUUAUGUCUUGGGCUUCACGCAUGCUACAAUGGCCGGUACAAUGGGUUGCGAUACUGUGAGGUGGAGCUAAUCCCAAAAAGCCGGUCUCAGUUCGGAUUGGGGUCUGCAACUCGACCCCAUGAAGUCGGAGUCGCUAGUAAUCGCAGAUCAGCAACGCUGCGGUGAAUACGUUCCCGGGCCUUGUACACACCGCCCGUCAAGUCACGAAAGUCGGUAACACCCGAAGCCGG
rnacentral:rRNA from 1 species